UACAGCAGCCGCUUGCGGUCUGUAUACAGGUGCUGCAUGGCUGUCGUCAGCUCGUGCUGUGAAGUGUGGUAAGUCCGCAACGAGCGCAACCCUAUCAUCUGUUGCCAGCAUUUAAGGUGGGGACGUCAGAUGAGACUGCCGGUGACAAACCGGAGGAAGGUGGGGACGACGUCAAGUCAUCAUGGCCCUUAUGUCCUGGGCUACACACGUGCUACAAUGGCCGGUACAGAGUGAAGCGAAACCGCGAGGUGAAGCAAAACGCAGAAAGCCGGUCUCAGUACGGAUUGGAGUCUGAAACUCGACUUCAUGAAGUUGGAAUCGCUAGUAAUCGCGCAUCAGCAUGGCGCGGUGAAUACGUUCCCGGGCCUU
rnacentral:rRNA from 1 species